rnacentral:rRNA from 1 species
UACAGAGGUCUCAAGCGUUGUUCGGAUUCAUUGGGCGUAAAGGGUGCGUAGGCGGCGCGGUAAGUCGGGUGUGAAAUCUCGGAGCUUAACUCCGAACCUGCAUUCGAUACUGCCGUGCUUGAGGACUGGAGAGGAGACUGGAAUUUACGGUGUAGCGGUGAAAUGCGUAGAUAUCGUAAGGAAGACCAGUGGCGAAGGCGGGUCUCUGGACAGUUCCUGACGCUGAGGCACGAAGGCCAGGGGAGCAAACGGG